UUUUACAAUGAAGAGUUUGAUCCUGGCUCAGGAUGAACGCUAGCUACAGGCUUAACACAUGCAAGUCGAGGGGCAGCGGGAUUGAAGCUUGCUUCAAUUGCCGGCGACCGGCGCACGGGUGAGUAACGCGUAUCCAACCUUCCGUACACUCAGGGAUAGCCUUUCGAAAGAAAGAUUAAUACCUGAUGGUAUCUUAAGCACACAUGUAAUUAAGAUUAAAGAUU
rnacentral:rRNA from 1 species